rnacentral:rRNA from 1 species
UACGGGGGGGGCAAGCGUUGUUCGGAAUUACUGGGCGUAAAGGGUUUGUAGGUGGCUGGCUAAGUCAGACGUGAAAUCCCUCGGCUCAACCGGGGAACUGCGUCUGAGACUGGUCGGCUCGAGUGCAGGAGAGGAACGCGGAAUUCCUGGUGUAGCGGUGAAAUGCGUAGAUAUCAGGAGGAACACCGGUGGUGUAGACGGCUUUCUGGACCAUAUCUGACGCUGAGGCACGAAAGCUAGGGUAGCGAACGGG